CCUUCCCCCAAAUCCUUAACCUCACGCACACAAUCUCUUCCAUAUAAGUAAUCAAAGUCAACUACGGAUUUCAUUGAACCUGGGGAAGGGCUUCGUCUCUUGGCAUUUUAAAGAAUGAGAGGGAGAGAAAAAACUGAGGGACUUUAUAAUCAAACCAGAACUUCUCCGAAAACAUUACCGGUAAGAGUAUCCUGUGAGGUGUAUGUAAAUACGAACAACCAGACAAUUGUCCACCAAGAUUGCCACCCUGAGCGGAGGACUGAACCUAUAGAGUUUAGAGGCUGGCUACAAAUUCCAGCAAUAGCAAAGUGAAAAGAGAGGCUCCUCAUAACUAGAGCGCAUGACAGGAUUUGAUAUCUUUGGAUGGCAGAAAAGUUUUUAAAUAUGGAACUCAGAGAAGAUAGCUCCAGGUUUGGGUCUUUACCAGUCACGACUUCAAGGAAUCUGUCAUCAUCAUCUUUGGUAUUCUUUUCAGCGAAUCAAUCACCCUUCUUCUCUCCUUGAUCACCAACAUGUCAUUUAUCAGAAUCCAAACAGUCCAACAUUCAAUGUGAUGGCAUUCGUUCAAGUAUUGAUCCUCUUAAACUUUAUUAGGAUGAAAAUAUGCAAAGCGUAAUGGAAAGGAAAGUGCAACCUGUUAAGAAAUUUUUUUUAAUUAUAUCCAAUUAACUUGCAGAAGAUGGAGGAUAUGGGAAUGCAAUUUGUAAAUCUAUUAUCAAGCACUAAAUUAGUAGAUUUUCAAACUUUCUAUUUUCAA